rnacentral:rRNA from 1 species
UACGAGGGGUCCUAGCGUUGUUCGGAAUCACUGGGCGUAAAGCGUAUGUAGGCGGGCUUCUAAGUCAGGUGUGAAAUCCCAUGGCUCAACCAUGGAAUUGCAUUUGAAACUGGAAGUCUUGAGUGUGGGAGAGAUUGGUAGAAUACCUGGUGUAGUGGUGAAAUACGUAGAUAUCAGGUGGAAUACCGGUGGCGAAGGCGGCCAAUUGGCCCAACACUGACGCUGAGAUACGAAAGCGUGGGGAGCAAACAGG